GACGAACGCUGGCGGCGUGCUUAACACAUGCAAGUCGAACGGAAAGGCCCUGCUUUUGUGGGGUGCUCGAGUGGCGAACGGGUGAGUAACACGUGAGUAACCUGCCCUUGACUUUGGGAUAACUUCAGGAAACUGGGGCUAAUACCGGAUAGGAGCUCCUGCUGCAUGGUGGGGGUUGGAAAGUUUCGGCGGUUGGGGAUGGACUCGCGGCUUAUCAGCUUGUUGGUGGGGUAGUGACUUACCAAGGCUUUGACGGGUAGCCGGCCUGAGAGGGUGACCGGCCAAAUGGGGACUGGGAGACGGCCCAAACUCCUACGGGGGGAAGGGGGGGGGAAUGUUGCACAAGGGGCGGAAGCCUGAGGCAGCAACGCCGGGUGCGGGAUGACGGCUUUCGGGUUGAAAACCGCUUUCGCCUGGGAGGAGGCGGGGGGGAGGGAAAUGGGAAAAAAAGCACGGGCAAACUAGGU
rnacentral:rRNA from 1 species